GAUGAACGCUGGCGGCGUGCCUAAUACAUGCAAGUCGAGCGAACAGACGAGGAGCUUGCUCCUCUGACGUUAGCGGCGGACGGGUGAGUAACACGUGGAUAACCUACCUAUAAGACUGGGAUAACUUCGGGAAACCGGAGCUAAUACCGGAUAAUAUAUUGAACCGCAUGGUUCAAUAGUGAAAGACGGUUUUGCUGUCACUUAUAGAUGGAUCCGCGCCGCAUUAGCUAGUUGGUAAGGUAACGGCUUACCAAGGCGACGAUGCGUAGCCGACCUGAGAGGGUGAUCGGCCACACUGGAACUGAGACACGGUCCAGACUCCUACGGGAGGCAGCAGUAGGGAAUCUUCCGCAAUGGGCGAAAGCCUGACGGAGCAACGCCGCGUGAGUGAUGAAGGUCUUCGGAUCGUAAAACUCUGUUAUUAGGGAAGAACAAAUGUGUAAGUAACUAUGCACGUCUUGACGGUACCUUAUCAGAAAGCCACGGCUAACUACGUG
rnacentral:rRNA from 1 species